UUCCCUCCUCUCUCUCUCUAGGCCGAUCGUGAGCACGGUUGAGGACUUCGUCGCCGACGUCGCGCCGCGAGCCGUUCGAGCGCACGUGUUGCCGGGGCGCUGCGAGGAGGCCGGGCGAGGGUGCGUCUUCGCCGUUCCUGUCGCCGCACCGCAGUUCAUCGCUGUUGAGAAUUCCAGCGUCAACCAUUGGUGUUUCAGCUCGUUCUCUGUGUAGGAGUGUCGAAACGCGACGAAAUUUGGCGUGCUAGAUUCGCGACUUCGAGACGAAGAUUCUGAGCCCAAGAUCGUGAUUUUUGGAGCAGGUUCCAGCGUCGACCAUUGGUGUUUCGGCUCGUUCUCCGCGUAGGAGCGUCGGAUCGCGACGAGACUUGGUUCAUUGGAUUCGGGACUUCGAGAGGAAUCCACAGAGCCCUCACUUGCAAUUUUUGGUCAAGCUUGGCGUUGGCUUGGCGACCGGACUUGGAGAUCCCCGAUUAAUCCAGCAGAGUUCCUUUUAGGCCGAGGCUUCGUUUGCUGCCAGGAGAUAGCACUUAAGGUGGGUUACAUCGGUUUUGACUCCUAAGUUCUAAUCGUCGACAUGUAUAAAUGUUGAUUGUUGCUAUAGCCUUUUCUAGCUCGAAUUCGUGGAUUUAA